rnacentral:rRNA from 1 species
AUUCAACGCUAGCGGCAGGCCUAACACAUGCCAGCCGAGCCGAUGAAGGGAGCUUGCUCCUGGAUUCAGCGGCGGACGGGUGAGUAAUGCCUCGGAAUCUGAAUGGUAGAGGGGGAUAACGCCAGGCAACGGGCGCUAAUACCGCAUACGUCUUGAGGGAGAAAGAGGCGGCUCUUCGGACCCCACGCUAUCAGAUGAUCCUAGGUCGACUUAGCUAGUUGGUGGGGUAAAGGCCUACCAAGGCAACGAUCCGUAACUGAUCUGAGAGGAUGAUCAGGCACACGGGAACUGAGACACGGUCCAGACUCCUACGGGAGGCAGCAAUGGGAAAUAUUGGACAAUGGGCGAAAGCCUGAUCCAGUCAUGCAGCGUGUGAGAAGAAGGUCUUCGGAUGGUAAAGCACUUUAAGUAGGGAGGAAGGUCAGUAAGUUAAUACCUUACUGUUUUGACGUUAGCAACAGAAUAGGCACCGGCUAACUUCGUG